ACCAGAGCAACUCCCUUGGCAAUUCAGUUUCCUCUCAGCAGUCGUGGUGUGAAGACUCAACAACUCUCUUGGCUCGCUCCUCAAUGAAAACUGAAACUGACUCGAGAAAGGUUUAACUUAACUUAUUCGGCAACAAGCUCAGUGUUUCUUCAUCCUGUAAGAGAAGCUGAGUUACAGAUACACUUCCUGAAAAUACGAAAACAUUUUCAUAAAUAGAAAGUCAGCAUAAGAAGCUACAUAAAGUCCUGCAAAACAACAUGCAUUAAAGUGAUCAAGUGACCGCCAGUACGAGUGUAAAGAAACUGUAAAGUUGAAAAAAAUAUACACAGAAGAAAUAGUCGUUACUGUUCGGGAAGACCCAGAGAGAGAUUUUAUUAUUGAGCCAAGAAAAACAAAAGUGGAGUGCGAUAGAAGCAUCCCGGUGUAGCAUAAGUGAAGAAGGGCGAUAAGAGUGACAAGUGCCGAGGAGAGGAAGUGUUCAGACUCAUGCGGCCAAGAUGCAGAGUGCUCUAAAUUGAUGGCAAGUGCUUUGGCGCCAAGACCAUUUAGCCAAGCCAAGUCUCUCAACGGAGUGUGUACAGAGUGUGCAUUUGUACUGCUUCUUCUCACAGUGGAAGACAGAAACAUUGCUGCAGCAGCUGGUACAAAUUGGCACCGUAACGGCUAUGGUUUAGGGCAAGUCAGGAGCUUCGCUUUGAGGGAUCGCAGUUCCGGCAGAGAGGAGCAGCAGGACAGGCGUGCAGAUGGCUGGCGGCCCAGUGGCCUCGCCUCGCACCCGUGCAGGUCUCUCAUUAUUGUAUAGAAAAAAAAGUUUCACCAUUUGUGCCUGACACGUGCUGCAGCAGCUGGCUCUGAGGCGAAGAAAACCACCUGCUCUCCACUCACGCCGCCGCCCCGCAGCAGGGAGGGAGGGCCCGACGAGCACCACAGGUAGCGUUUGUCUUUGCUAGGUGACAGUAGCCUCACGGGGCAGGUUGUCAUCUUAUUAGUCAGUGUUAUUUUUUUAGCCUCUAUUAAAUAAACAACAAAG